AUUGAACGCUGGCGGCAGGCCUAACACAUGCAAGUCGAACGAGUGGCGGACGGGUGAGUAAUGUCUGGGAAACUGCCUGAUGGAGGGGGAUAACUACUGGAAACGGUAGCUAAUACCGCAUACCAUCGGAUGUGCCCAGAUGGGAUUAGCUAGUUGGUGGGGUAAAGGCUCACCUAGGCGACGAUCCCUAGCUGGUCUGAGAGGAUGACCAGCCACACUGGAACGGAGACACGGUCCAGACUCCGACGGGAGGCAGCAGUGGGGAAUAUUGCACAAUGGGCGCAAGCCGGAUGCAGCCAUGCCGCGUGUAUGAAGAGGGCCGUCGGGUUGUAAAGUACUUUCAGCGGGGAGGCGUUACCCGCAGAAGAAGCACCGGCUAACUCCGUGCCAGCAGCCGCGGUAAUAC
rnacentral:rRNA from 1 species